CAACAGAAGAAGCACCGGCUAACUCCGUGCCAGCAGCCGCGGUAAUACGGAGGGUGCGAGCGUUAAUCGGAAUUACUGGGCGUAAAGCGCAUGCAGGUGGUUUGUUAAGUCAGAUGUGAAAGCCCGGGGCUCAACCUCGGAACUGCAUUUGAAACUGGCAGACUAGAGUACUGUAGAGGGGGGUAGAAUUUCAGGUGUAGCGGUGAAAUGCGUAGAGAUCUGAAGGAAUACCGGUGGCGAAGGCGGCCCCCUGGACAGAUACUGACACUCAGAUGCGAAAGCGUGGGGAGCAAACAGGAUUAGAUACCCUGGUAGUCCACGCUGUAAACGAUGUCUACUUGGAGGUUGUGGCCUUGAGCCGUGGCUUUCGGAGCUAACGCGUUAAGUAGACCGCCUGGGGAGUACGGUCGCAAGAUUAAAACUCAAAUGAAUUGACGGGGGCCCGCACAAGCGGUGGAGCAUGUGGUUUAAUUCGAUGCAACGCGAAGAACCUUAC
rnacentral:rRNA from 1 species